rnacentral:rRNA from 1 species
UACAGAGGGGCAAGCGUUAUUCGGAAUUAUUGGGCGUAAAGGGCGCGUAGGCGGCUUGGCAAGUGGAUGGUGAAAUCCCUCGGCUUAACCGAGGAACUGCCGUCCAAACUGCUUUGCUUGAGACCGGGAGAGGUGAGUGGAAUUCCCAGUGUAGCGGUGAAAUGCGUAGAUAUUGGAGGAACACCAGUGGCGAAGGCGGCUCACUGGACCGGUACUGACGCUGAUGCGCGAAAGCGUGGGGAGCAACGG